UUCCCUCGCCCUCUCUCGAUUUGCCGCACUCCCUCACCCUCUUUCUGUCUCUCAGCCCCAUUUCCCUCUCUCUGUUUCCCAACCUCUCUCUCUCGCUAGGGUUUUCAAAGCCCCCUUUCGCUACAAACUCUCCAUUGAUCUAUGAGCACAUCCUAUGGUAUGGUUUUCGAAACCCUUUUCCUCUUGAAGAUUUGAAUGGUUCUGUUGCAGAUUUUGGGAUAUGGAUGGGCUAAGAUGCUUAGGAAAUAUUUGGUUGAGCCUGCUGAGAAGUGGUGGCCGUCUAACUUUGCUUAGGUCUCUCUAUUUAGGUAUUUUGAUUUACAGUUUGCAUUAUUUGAGGACAGAGGAAGGGUUUUAACUUUCAAUCAGGCAGCUUUUCUUUUCACAGUCGUGGGCACCACCGGUUUUCUUGGUGUGUUGGUUGGCCAGCUUCCUCGGGUAACCAUCAUGAUAUUCUUUCAUUCAUUAUACAACUUUCAUCUAUUAUUACUUUGUAAGAAGUGUGUUGGAUUGCAAAUUUGUUCUGUAUGUUAAUAGAAUAUUGCAUUUUCUUUCCUAUAUAGAACUGUUAAUUUUCCAUUACUCAUGCAGUGUUCUUCUUUAGUUCAUCUCAUUUAAUCGUUGUAUUGUGUUGUGGGUAAUGCUAUAGGGUUUGCCCCAUUUUGAUUGCUUAUGGCUGUGUAAAAUGAAAGCCAUCCCAUUUUACUGACUCCAUGAACUGGUGUUAUUUUUUCUCGUCGUUUCUCUUUUAUAACAUCUUUAAUGUGUGUUUGGAUGCACAAUCAAAUUGAAUUGUUAUUGCCAAUCUGAUAGAAUGAAAGCAACUGAUCGCCUUCUUUGAAAUUGGACUUGGAAGAACACAACAGUGGUGCUUCCUUGCUACGGAUGGUGUGACCACAUCAUUAUAUUUUGUCAUUUACACCUUUGAUUGAACCGUGAGUCCUUUCCUCUCUGAUUGGAUUCGGAUUUAGAUACGCAAGUGAAAUGCCAAUUCCUCAAACGUUGUGGUCAAAUGGGGUGAUGUUCUCUACAGCUAAUAGUAGUUGCGUUUCUUCCUACUCCCAACUUGGAAGCAGUGCAUUGGGCUUAACAGGAAUGUGACCAGAGGUGACUUAGUUUUCUUUUUAAUCUGCAAACCCGAACACAUUACAUGCUCUACAUGCUUCUAAUUCAUUUUUCCAAGCCUCCCUCAGCUCAGCAGAGUUCCUGUACCACUGCCUGAAAAAAAAAAAAAGAAGAAGUUUCUAAGUGCAUGAAUGCUUGAAUAAAGUGAAAGAAAGAAGACCACAAAAUGAUCUGUUAGGAAUGUUUUU